rnacentral:rRNA from 1 species
AUACGUAGGGUGCAAGCGUUAAUCGGAAUUACUGGGCGUAAAGCGUGCGCAGGCGGUUUUGCUAAACAGUGUUGAAAUCACCCGGCUCAACCUGGGAACUGCCAUUGGAGCUGUGAGGCUGGGGGGCGGGAGCGGGGGAUGGUAUUCAGCGUGUGGCCGUGAGAUGCGUAGAUAUGCGGAGGAACACCGAUGGCGAAGGCAAUCCCCUGGGCCUGCACUGACGCUCAUGCACGAAAGCGUGGGGAGCAAACAGGAUUAGAUACCCUGGUAGUCCACGCCCUAAACGAUGUCAACUGGUUGUUGGGGAUUUAUUUUCUCAGUAACGAAGCUAACGCGUGAAGUUGACCGCCUGGGGAGUACGGCCGCAAGGUUAAAACUCAAAUGAAUUGACGGGG